ACAAGGAAGUGACGGCUAACUACGUGCCAGCAGCCGCGGUAAAACGUAGGUCACAAGCGUUGUCCGGAAUUACUGGGUGUAAAGGGAGCGCAGGCGGGAAGACAAGUUGGAAGUGAAAUCUAUGGGCUCAACCCAUAAACUGCUUUCAAAACUGUUUUUCUUGAGUAGUGCAGAGGUAGGCGGAAUUCCCGGUGUAGCGGUGGAAUGCGUAGAUAUCGGGAGGAACACCAGUGGCGAAGGCGGCCUACUGGGCACCAACUGACGCUGAGGCUCGAAAGUGUGGGUAGCAAACAGGAUUAGAUACCCUGGUAGUCCACACCGUAAACGAUGAUUACUAGGUGUUGGAGGAUUGACCCCUUCAGUGCCGCAGUUAACACAAUAAGUAAUCCACCUGGGGAGUACGACCGCAAGGUUGAAACUCAAAGGAAUUGACGGGGGCCCGCACAAGCAGUGGAGUAUGUGGUUUAAUUCGACGCAACGCGAAGAACCUUACCAAGUCUUGACAUCCUGCGACGCACAUAGAAAUAUGUGUUUCCUUCGGGACGCAGAGACAGGUGGUGCAUGGUUGUCGUCAGCUCGUGUCGUGAGAUGUUGGGUUAAGUCCCGCAACGAGCGCAACCCUUACUGUCAGUUACUACGCAAGAGGACUCUGGCAGGACUGCCGUUGACAAAACGGAGGAAGGUGGGGAUGACGUCAAAUCAUCAUGCCCUUUAUGACUUGGGCUACACACGUACUACAAUGGCGUUAAACAAAGAGAAGCAAGACCGCGAGGUGGAGCAAAACUCAGAAACAACGUCCCAGUUCGGACUGCAGGCUGCAACUCGCCUGCACGAAGUCGGAAUUGCUAGUAAUCGUGGAUCAGCAUGCCACGGUGAAUACGUUCCCGGGCCUUGUACACACCGCCCGUCACACCAUGAGAGCCGGGGGGACCCGAAGUCGGUAGUCUAACCGCAAGGAGGACGCCGCCGAAGGUAAAACUGGUGAUUGGGGUGAAGUCGUAACAAGGUAGCCGUAGGAGAACCUGCGGCUGGAUCACCUCCUUU
rnacentral:rRNA from 1 species